AUGGCCGCUGCUCGUUUCACCGCCGCACAGGUUCUAGAGCAGAUUUUUUUAAGCCAAUCAAAUGACGACUCUGAACCAGAAGAGGAAUCUGAGGAAAACGUGUCAAGUGAAGAAGAGAAAGAAAAAGGAGAAGCAGAAGAAGCAGAUACAGCAGGACCAGAAACAGAUGAAGGACAAGAAGACAGCGAGGGAUGUGAUCUAAGGCUGGACACUUCAGAUGAAGAAGUUGAUGAUGAAGAAUAUAAUGAUGAUGAUGAUGAUGAUGUUGAUGAUGAAGAUGAUGAUGAAAUAAUAGAAAAUGUGCAAAGACUGGAGCAAAUAGAACUCGAGGAUGAGGAGGAGGAUGAAGAAGAAGAAAAAGAAGAAGAAGAUAAAACUUUUAUCUCUAAAGACGGGAAAAUAAAAUGGUCCUCCGCUGCGUUUCGCAAUGGCGAGGAAGCGAGGAACGUCCCUCUUAGUCCUCUUUCUGCCCAGGGACCCACAGAGUACGCGGCGGCUCAGGCGGUCGACUUUGAAUCGACCUUCCGCAUGUUUGUGACCCCGGCGGUGGAAAGGAUCGUCCUGGAGAAUACCAACCUGGAGGGCUCUCGAAAGCUCGGGAGUGCCUGGAAGGGCAUGGACGAGGUCGACCUGCGAGCCUACUUAGGCCUCCUGAUUUUGUCCGGCGUCUACAGGUCCCGAGGGGAGGCCGUGGCCAGCCUGUGGGACGCCGAGAGCGGCAGGGCCAUUUUUCGCGCCACGAUGUCGCUCAAGGUGUUUCACGCUUACUCGAAGCUGUUGCGUUUCGACGAUCGCCAAACUAGACCCGCCAGGCGAGCGACGGACAAACUGGCAGCCGUGAGAGAGGUCUGGGAUGCGUGGGUGGAGCGGCUGCCCAGCCUCUACGACCCGGGUCCUAACGUGACGGUGGACGAGCAACUGGUACCUUUCAGAGGUAAAGCAAAAAAAAAAAAAAAAAAAAAAACAUACAGAAACAGACACACAAACACAGACAGACACACACACACACGCAGACAUGCAGACAAAGGCACAGACACACACAUACACACACAGGCACAUAGACACACACACACACACACACACACACACACACACACACACACACACACGCAGACACACACGCAGACAUGCAGAAAACACGUAGCAAGCAGGCUUUCUUUUUUUACCUCUGUAAAAAAAUAUAUUUUUAAAAAUCUCACCUUUAUUUUUUGUAGGUCGUUGCUCUUUCAGACAGUACAUGCCUAG
rnacentral:lncRNA from 1 species